AUUGCUUCUCGGCCCUUUGGCUAAGAUCACGUGUAGUCCCUGUUCUUAUCAGGUUAAUAGCUGAUAUGUCCUCUAUCCAAAUUUUGUAUUGGUCUGACUGCUGCAAGUCUUGAUCCUUU
rnacentral:snRNA from 1 species